CGAGUAUCCAGACCCAAGAGCUGCUGCUCCACACAGCGGCAGCUUGAACAGUGGUGUUGACAAGCAAGUGGAUCUCGUCACCUUUGGGGGAUUGAACCGUGCCCCUAAAGUGUAGUCAGAGGUUCUACACCA